rnacentral:rRNA from 1 species
GAUGAACGCUGGCGGCGUGCCUAAUACAUGCAAGUCGAGCGAACAGACGAGGAGCUUGCUCCUCUGACGUUAGCGGCGGGCGGGUGAGUAACACGUGGAUAACCUACCUAUAAGACUGGGAUAACUUCGGGAAACCGGAGCUAAUACCGGAUAAUAUAUUGAACCGCAUGGUUCAAUAGUGAAAGACGGUUUUGCUGUCACUUAUAGAUGGUUCCGCGCCGCAUUAGCUAGUUGGUAAGGUAACGGCUUACCAAGGCAACGAUGCGUAGCCGACCUGAGAGGGUGAUCGGCCACACUGGAACUGAGACACGGUCCAGACUCCUACGGGAGGCAGCAGUAGGGAAUCUUCCGCAAUGGGCGAAAGCCUGACGGAGCAACGCCGCGUGAGUGAUGAAGGUCUUCGGAUCGUAAAACUCUGUUAUUAGGGAAGAACAGAUGUGUAAGUAACUAUGCACGUCUUGACGGUACCUAAUCAGAAAGCCACGGCUAACUACGUG